rnacentral:tRNA from 1 species
GUCUUCAUGGGGUAGUGGUCAGCGCGUUCGCUACGUAAGCGAGAGGUCCGUGGUUCGAUUCCUGGCGAAGGCG